rnacentral:rRNA from 1 species
UGAGCUCGCGUCUGAUUAGCUAGUUGGUGUGGUAAAGGCGCACCAAGGCUUCGAUCAGUAGCUGGUCUGAGAGGAUGAUCAGCCACACUGGGACUGAGGCACGGCCCAGACUCCUACGGGAGGCAGCAGUGGGGAAUUUUCCGCAAUGGGCGCAAGCCUGACGGAGCAACGCCGCGUGAGGGAUGAAGGCCUCUGGGCUGUAAACCUCUUUUCUCAAGGAAGAAGAAAUGACGGUACUUGAGGAAUAAGCCACGGCUAAUUCCGUGCCAGCAGCCGCGGUAAUACGGGAGUGGCAAGCGUUAUCCGGAAUUAUUGGGCGUAAAGCGUCCGCAGGCGGUCCUACAAGUCUGCCGUUAAAAAGUGGAGCUCAACUCCAUCACGGCGGUGGAAACUGUAGGACUGGAGUGUGGUAGGGGCAGAGGGAAUUCCCGGUGUAGCGGUGAAAUGCGUAGAUAUCGGGAAGAACACCAGUGGCGAAAGCGCUCU